rnacentral:rRNA from 1 species
CACCAGCGCCUCGAGUGGGGAUCGCGAUUAUUGGGUCUAAAGCGUCCGUAGCAGGCUCGGUAAAUGCUUUGUGAAAUCGGCAGGCUUAACCUGCCGGCGCGCAGAGUAGACUGCAGAGCUCGAGACCGGGAGAGGUUAGAAGUAUUCCUUGGGUACCGGUAAAAUGGGUUAAUCCAAGGAGGACUACCUAUGGCGAAGGCAUCUAACCAGAACGGAUCUGACUGUGAGGGACGAAAGCUAGGGGAGCAAAACG